rnacentral:lncRNA from 13 species
GGAAACCACAUAUCCUGAGGCUGUAUUUAUUGCAGCUGGGGAUUUUAACAAAGCUAAUCUGAAAACNNNNNNNNNNCAAACAAGAAUCCGACAAAGACAGGAGCAAAAACAGAGAGAGAUAUAGAGGACUAAUCAGAGGGAAAAAGGGAACAGGUGGGAAAAGGGGUGACGAGGUAGUUAGGAGGAGACAAGAAUCCGACAAAGACAGGAGCAAAAACAGAGAGAGAUAUAGAGGACUAAUCAGAGGGAAAAAGGGAACAGGUGGGAAAAGGGGUGACGAGGUAGUUAGGAGGAGACAAGGAACAGCUGGGGGAAAGAGGGGGAGAAAAGGUAACCUAAUAACGACCAGCAGAGGGAGACAGGGUGAAGGGAAAGGACAGAAACAAGACACAACAUGACAAUACAUGACAGAUAUCUGUUCUUCCUCACUUCAUCUGACCUGACCUCUACCCCAUAGUGCUUACUCUUCCCCAACUCAAGGGUGUCAUGGUGAUUGAUACCAGACUGUGUCCCUCCCAUAAGAUCCCUGAUGGCUAACAGUAACAUACCCUGACAUAAUGUAAACAUUAUACAUUACCCUCUCUCCAUCAGUGACAUUGUUAGGUUCUAAGAUCUCCACCCGUCUCCCAUACACAUUCCAAAGCCAUCUGGCUCCUACAGAUAACCAUUAACUGCUGAUUACAACAAUGUUCCAAGUUUAACCCAGAAUCUAACAGGUUGAAUGUUUGGGUUGAGUUGUUUGGUAAAUAAAUGUAGACAUGAUUUUAAAAAAAAGUAGAUGUAAUACAGUAUUUCAUUCAGUACAGAAAUGUGUAGGCGGCUUAACCCCAUGUCAGGUGUAAGUGCCAAGAUACCUACUUUUUGGAUUUACAUGAAUUCCGAAUUCUGAAUUACUACUCGCCAAUGUCCAGUCUCUUGACAACGAGGUCGACAAAAUUCGAGCAAGGGAUGCCUUCCCGAGAGACAUCAGAGAUGGUAACAUUCUCUGUUUCACAGAAAC